rnacentral:lncRNA from 1 species
UGAUCUAUGACCUAACAAGUUCACUAGCAUUUGGUAGGUUUGCAAGCUUCCACAAUUUCAUUGCACAUGAUUUACUACUGAAAUAUUCAUGAAUUUAUGAUCUGACAAGUUCACUAGCAUUUGGUAGGUUUGCAAGCUUCCACGAUUUCGGAAGCCAAACGGAGAUACUCCGGCUCCUAACUCUGCGGUGGAGCGGAGCGACAUGCAGUUCAUUUCUUUGGAGCGGGCAUUCUGUCGAUCCUUGUUUCCAGAGGAACGGAGUGACUGGAGUGGUACAUUGCCGAACAGGCACUUCAUUGCACAUGAUUUACUGAAUUGCAGAUAUCAAAAGGCGCAUGGAGAAGGAUGUUAACGAAGUGACAAAGGUUGCACGGCUCACAAAAUCAAAACUACAGCAAUUGAAUAAAGAGGUGAGUUAAUUUGCGCUACUGUAACUUGCACGAUGCAUAUGCUUUGCAGUGGUAGUAGAUGACAACACGUUUGAGUUCUAAGGAUCUUCACUUUUAUUUGUCAUUGACUGAAUGGAGACAUGUCUUUAUCAUCUCUGGUUGCCUUUGGCUUGUCCACUUAGAUCCAUGGUCAUUAGUAUUUUCUUCCUCAAAAUUUAAGUGCUAGGACUUCCUGAUAUUCCAAGCUUUUGAUGUUUUCUCCAAUGUCUUCCCAUGAAAAUACUGGAAAGGUUGGUCAUUUCUGAGAGUAUGCAUGGUUCAUGAUUUCCAUGGUGGCAUCCUGCUUAUAGUUUUUGUUUGUUUGUUUUCGUGUCAAUAUUUGAAAUAUGAAAGAUUAUAGUUUCAUUUAUGAGUAUGAUGCAGGAUUAUCACUUAUAAAGUUUCAUACUUGUACCGAUAUCUUAUGUACCAAUAUUUGAAUAUUUCCUUGAAAUUUCUGCUUCUGUUGUAUUUGUAGACGUCAGCAACACCAUCUCUGUGUAGCCAGACGGUUCUUCAUGUAACUCAUCUUUUCUAUUUUCAUAAAGAUCAGCCAAGGCCUUUUGAGUGGUCGCCUGUCACCCUCAUCCCCCUCCCUUAUCUCUUGUUCGAUGUGUUAGUUUGUGUCAACAUGUUCAAGAUUUUGCUAUCUUUUAGCUCAAGCAACUAAACUGUGCUCUGUUCUAAGCAUGCAAAAUGAUUCUGUGGUUUCUGCGAUAUAUGAUGGGUCAUGUGGUGCAUUUUUUCUUCUUCAGGAUUUCACUAAUGAGGUUGACAU